GCGGGGGAAUGCUUCGGCCGCGCCUGUGAACGCAGGUGAGGAAAGUCCGGGCACCGCAGGGCCAAAGAUGCCAGCUAACGGCUGGUCGGCGAGUCAAGUGCCCAGUGCCUGCGUCCGGGGCCUGGGUGGCGGCGAAGCCGAAGGACAGUGCCACAGAAACGAGACCGCCACGCACUGGCGUGCAGAACGUAAAGCCCCGGCGUGGGCGGGCGCGUGGUCAGGGUGAAACGGUGCGGUAAGAGCGCACCAGGCCCUCAGGAGACUGGGGGCGUCUGGUUAACCCCAUCUGGUGCAAGACCCGACAGUGCGGUAGGGCUGGCCCGCCCGAUGACCGCCAGGAUGGUUGCUUGAGGCGCGCAGCGAUGCGCGUCCCAGAGAGAUGGCCGAACAGUCGCGCAAGCGAUGGACAGAACCCGGCUUACAGUUCCCCCGUACAG
rnacentral:RNase_P_RNA from 1 species